rnacentral:rRNA from 2 species
ACAUGCAAGUCGAACGCACUCUCGUUUAGAUUGAAGGAGCUUGCUCCUGAUUGAUAAACAUUUGAGUGAGUGGCGGACGGGUGAGUAACACGUGGGUAACCUGCCCUAAAGUGGGGGAUAACAUUUGGAAACAGAUGCUAAUACCGCAUAAAACCUAACACCGCAUGGUGUAGGGUUGAAAGAUGGUUUCGGCUAUCACUUUAGGAUGGACCCGCGGUGCAUUAGUUAGUUGGUGAGGUAAAGGCUCACCAAGACCGUGAUGCAUAGCCGACCUGAGAGGGUAAUCGGCCACACUGGGACUGAGACACGGCCCAGACUCCUACGGGAGGCAGCAGUAGGGAAUCUUCCACAAUGGACGAAAGUCUGAUGGAGCAACGCCGCGUGAGUGAAGAAGGUUUUCGGAUCGUAAAACUCUGUUGUUGGAGAAGAAUGUAUCUGAUAGUAACUGAUCAGGUAGUGACGGUAUCCAACCAGAAAGCCACGGCUAACUACGUGCCAGCAGCCGCGGUAAUACGUAGGUGGCAAGCGUUGUCCGGAUUUAUUGGGCGUAAAGCGAGCGCAGGCGGUUUCUUAAGUCUGAUGUGAAAGCCUUCGGCUCAACCGAAGAAGUGCAUCGGAAACUGGGAAACUUGAGUGCAGAAGAGGACAGUGGAACUCCAUGUGUAGCGGUGAAAUGCGUAGAUAUAUGGAAGAACACCAGUGGCGAAGGCGGCUGUCUGGUCUGUAACUGACGCUGAGGCUCGAAAGCAUGGGUAGCAAACAGGAUUAGAUACCCUGGUAGUCCAUGCCGUAAACGAUGAGUGCUAGGUGUUGGAGGGUUUCCGCCCUUCAGUGCCGCAGCUAACGCAUUAAGCACUCCGCCUGGGGAGUACGACCGCAAGGUUGAAACUCAAAGGAAUUGACGGGGGCCCGCACAAGCGGUGG